rnacentral:rRNA from 1 species
AGUCAACCUAACCUAUGGACGGGAAUAACCUCGGGAAACUGAGAAUAAUGCCCGAUAGGACAUUAUGCCUGGAAUGGUUUAUGUUCCAAAUGAUUUAUCGCCGUAGGAUGGGACUGCGGCCUAUCAGUUUGUUGGUGAGGUAAUGGCCCACCAAGACUAUUACAGGUACGGGCUCUGAGAGGAGUAGCCCGGAGAUGGGUACUGAGACACGGACCCAGGCCCUAUGGGGCGCAGCAGGCGAGAAAACUUUGCAAUGUGCGAAAGCACGACAAGGUUAAUCCGAGUGGUUUCUGCUAAAGAAACCUUUUGUCAGUCCUAGAAACACUGAUGAAUAAGGGGUGGGCAAGUUCUGGUGUCAGCCGCCGCGGUAAAACCAGCACCUCAAGUGGUCAGGAUGAUUAUUGGGCCUAAAGCAUCCGUAGCCGGCUCUGUAAGUUUUCGGUUAAAUCUGUACGCUCAACGUACAGGCUGCCGGGAAUACUGCAGAGCUAGGGAGUGGGAGAGGUAGACGGUACUCGGUAGGAAGGGGUAAAAUCCUUUGAUCUAUUGAUGACCACCUGUGGCGAAGGCGGUCUACCAGAACACGUCCGACGGUGAGGGAUGAAAGCUGGGGGAGCAAACCGGAUUAGAUACCCGGGUAGUCCCAGCUGUAAACUAUGCAAACUCAGUGAUGCAUUGGCUUGUGGCCAAUGCAGUGCUGCAGGGAAGCCGUUAAGUUUGCCGCCUGGGAAGUACGUACGCAAGUAUGAAACUUA